rnacentral:lncRNA from 1 species
GUUCCCUUUUGAGAUUUUGACUAUUAGGAUUUGAAGAGGGGUUGGGAAGUGAGAAGGUUUUGAAGCAGUUUUCUUUUGAGAUUUUAACUAUUAGGGUUUGGACAGGGCUUGGGAAAUGAGAAAGUUUUGAAGUAGUUCUUUUUUGAGAUUUUAACUAUUAGGGUUUGGAGAGGGCUUAGGAAAUGGAAAGGUUUUGAAGUUUGAAAUUAGGGUUUGAAUUAUAAAAAUAUAUGUAUUUUGGUUUAGGUUAUAAAAGUGUAAGUAUUUUUUUGCCAUUUAGAUUCAAAUCUAAUAAUUUGAAUUUUUUAUAUAUUAUACCAAAUUAAAUUUAUUAGGGUUCGGGUUCGGGUUCGGGUUCAGAUUUGAGUUCGGUUCCGGUGCGGGUUUUUUAUAAUAUCGAUACCCGAAUCCGAACCCGUCGGAUUUUUUUUAUAUAUAUAUCCAUACCCGAAUCCAUAUCUAUUUACAUCGGAUAAAAUCCGGUUCGUUUGGAUUUGGAUUCG